CCUACGGGUGGCAGCAGUGAGGAAUAUUGGUCAAUGGGCGAGAGCCUGAACCAGCCAAGUAGCGUGAAGGAUGACUGCCCUACGGGUUGUAAACUUCUUUUAUAAGGGAAUAAAGUGAGGCACGUGUGCCUUUUUGUAUGUACUUUAUGAAUAAGGAUCGGCUAACUCCGUGCCAGCAGCCGCGGUAAUACGGAGGAUCCGAGCGUUAUCCGGAUUUAUUGGGUUUAAAGGGUGCGUAGGCGGAAUGUCAAGUCAGCAGUGAAAAUUUGGGGCUCAACCCUCGGGGUGCAGUUGAAACUGAUGUUCUUGAGUGUGCGAGAGGUAGGCGGAAUGCGUGGUGUAGCGGUGAAAUGCAUAGAUAUCACGAAGAACUCCGAUUGCGAAGGCAGCAUACCGG
rnacentral:rRNA from 1 species